UGUCGCACUGGCGACCACCAAUGCUCUUGUAGCCUGUGAUGAGCGCCUUCGGGUGGCUACAGUCGCACUUAA
rnacentral:sRNA from 13 species